AACGGGAGGCUGCAGUAGGGAAUCUUCCACAAUGGGCGCAAGCCUGAUGGAGCAACGCCGCGUGUGUGAUGAAGGCUUUCGGGUCGUAAAGCACUGUUGUAUGGGAAGAACGGGUUUAAGAGGAAAUGCUUAAACAGUGACGGUACCAUACCAGAAAGGGACGGCUAAAUACGUGCCAGCAGCCGCGGUAAUACGUAUGUCCCGAGCGUUAUCCGGAUUUAUUGGGCGUAAAGCGAGCGCAGACGGUUGCUUAAGUCUGAAGUGAAAGCCCACAGCUCAACUGUGGAAUGGCUUUGGAAACUGGGCAACUUGAGUGCAGUAGAGGUAAGUGGAACUCCAUGUGUAGCGGUGGAAUGCGUAGAUAUAUGGAAGAACACCAGUGGCGAAGGCGGCUUACUGGACUGCAACUGACGUUGAGGCUCGAAAGUGUGGGUAGCAAACAGGAUUAGAUACCCUGGUAGUCCACACCGUAAACGAUGGAUACUAGUUGUUAGAGGGUUUCCGCCCUUUAGUGNACAANCAAACGCAUUAAGUAUCCCGCCUGGGGAGUACGACCGCAAGGUUGAAACUCAAAGGAAUUGACGGGGACCCCCACAAGCGGUG
rnacentral:rRNA from 1 species